CAUUUUGAAAACUGCCUUCAGGAUCAUAAAUAUGAAGCCAUUCUUGACUGGGGCUGAUUAGAAUGUUUUUGAAGAACCAUUAGAAGGCAUUUGUGAGUGAACCUUGCAUAAGAUUUUUCUUUCAAUUCUUAUGAAAGCUGCCUUCUCUACCAGGCAUCCUACACAGCACUGCGGUGACAGGCAAAGCAGCAGCCCUCAGCUAAAAACAGCCUCUUCCCCGAGAUCUAAAGGAAGAAAACCAUUGACACUUACCUUCUUCAAGGAAGGCAAAGCCCCAUUAAGAUUCGCAAAGAAAGUUGCCUGCUGACAGAAGAACUGAGACUGGAUUGAGGAUGAUAAUAAAAAUUCAUAUUAGCUGCUCUUGAGAAUAGAAGAGGAAACUUAUGUGGGAUGUGUAAAGAAUUUCUG